GGAUUGAAGGUGAUCUGACUGUGACGUCUGUCACUCUACUGACCAUCAGGGUUGAUCCAUUGCUCUGGCUGGCUAAACAGGUGUCUUUUCCCUCCCUCCCUCCCUUCCUCCCAGGUCCAGAGUUAGAUGACCUCCCUGAUAAAGAAGGUUCACUCUUUGCUCAAGAUCUAUGAGUAGCCAUGAUCCGCUGCUAAAAGCUUUAAAACAAUCUCUCAAAACUUCUGGUGCUACCGUAAGGAUCUAUGGUCAGUCUCUAUGUCAAAGACUCUAACGGU
rnacentral:snRNA from 1 species